CCUACGGGAGGCUGCAGUAGGGAAUCUUUCACAAUGGGCGAAAGCCUGAUGGAGCAACGCCGCGUGCAGGAUGAAGGCCUUCGGGUUGUAAACUGCUUUUAUAAGCGAGAAAUAUGAUGGUAACUUAUGAAUAAGGAUCGGCUAACUACGUGCCAGCAGCCGCGGUCAUACGUAGGAUCCGAGCAUUAUCCGGAGUGACUGGGUGUAAAGAGUUGCGUAGGUGGCAUAAUAAGUAGCUAGUGAAAUCUGUUGGCUCAAACAUUCAGACUAUUAGCUAAACUGUUAAGCUAGAGACCGUUAGGGGUAACUGGAAUUUCUAGUGUAGGGGUGAAAUCCGUAGAUAUUAGAAGGAACACCAGUGGCGUAGGCAGGUUACUGGGACGGUUCUGACGCUAAGGCACGAAAGCGUAGGGAGCAAACGGGAUUAGAUACCCGGGUAGUC
rnacentral:rRNA from 1 species